GCCAAACCCUAACAUGCUGAUUUUGUCUGAUUUCAUAAGUUAAGCAGGGAUAGCCCUGAUUGACACUUAGAUGGGAGAUCACUAAGGAAUACCAGGAAGC
rnacentral:rRNA from 1 species